UACGUAGGGGGCAAGCGUUGUCCGGAAUCAUUGGGCGUAAAGCGCGCGUAGGUGGCCAUUUAAGUCCGCUGUGAAAGUCAAAGGCUCAACCUUUGAAAGCCGGUGGAUACUGGAUGGCUAGAGUACGGAAGAGGCGAGUGGAAUUCCUGGUGUAGCGGUGAAAUGCGUAGAUAUCAGGAGGAACACCUGUGGUGUAGACAGCUUACUGGACCACUUCUGACGCUGAGACACGAAAGCGUGGGUAGCAAACAGG
rnacentral:rRNA from 1 species